CCAAGGAGACACUGGUCUAAGAAGAGAAGGAAACCCUGUGGCAAGCUCAGGGGGACUCGUGGCCUGGGACGGCCCCAACAGGGUGAUUCAUCUUGGCCCAGCUCAUGCUUCACCAUCUUGUAUCAGAGCUUGCAGCUUCUGGCAUCCAGUUUCAGAUGAGGCUCUACACCAAUAUCAUUUUCCAGUGAAGUGUAAGGCCACCACGCAGAAGCUGCGCCCACCCACCCACCCAUCGGUGAGGCUGGAGAGAACAAGCAGGUUUUGGAGGCUGGCAGAGGAUCAGAGAGGACAGCGACUGUGUGCUUCGAGUGCUCCCCUUUCAGGUCAAGCCUAGAGGGAGGGGCUUUAAGGAGACCUCCCAGAGAGUUUUCACGGGUCCUCUGCACUUGGGAGACAUUGUGUCUGAUUCAUGUCCAAAUAAUCUAAAGGGAAAGUGAUGUAUGCGCUCACUGGCAGCUCGGUUGGUGGAGCAAAGGAAAGUGGCUUCAGAGGGCACUCCUUGUUUUUCAGGCAAAGGAGGGUUUCCUGGGGGCUGGAGUGGACCACCCCUGGGAGAAAGCCAGACUGGAAGGCUGCCCGGAGGGCAGGGGCCACAGGGGGGAAGUGGAGGGCCUGCCCAAUGCUCUGGGCUGAGCAGGCAG